rnacentral:rRNA from 1 species
AACGAACGCUGGCGGCAGGCCUAACACAUGCAAGUCGAACGCUGCAGCAAUGCAGAGUGGCAGACGGGUGAGUAACGCGUGGGAACCUUCCCAAUGGUACGGAAUAGCCCAGGGAAACUUGGGGUAAUACUGUAUUAGCCCCAUGGGGGAAAGAUUUAUCGCCAUUGGAUGGGCCCGCGUCGGAUUAGCUAGUUGGUGAGGUAACGGCUCACCAAGGCGACGAUCCGUAGCUGGUUUGAGAGAAUGACCAGCCACACUGGGACUGAGACACGGCCCAGACUCCUACGGGAGGCAGCAGUGGGGAAUCUUGGACAAUGGGCGAAAGCCUGAUCCAGCCAUGCCGCGUGAGUGACGAAGGCCUUGGGGUUGUAAAGCUCUUUUGGCGGGGACGAUAAUGACGGUACCCGCAGAAUAAGUCCCGGCUAACUUCGUGCCAGCAGCCGCCGUAA